AGUGAACGCUGGCGGCAGGCCUAACACAUGCAAGUCGAGCGGCAGCGCGUCCGACCACCCUCGGGUGGUCGGAUGGCGGCGAGCGGCGGACGGGUGAGGAAUGCAUCGGAAUCUGCCUCGUUGUGGGGGAUAACGUAGGGAAACUUACGCUAAUACCGCAUACGACCUACGGGUGAAAGUGGGGGACCUUCGGGCCUCACGCGAUGAGAUGAGCCGAUGCCGGAUUAGCUAGUUGGCGGGGUAAAGGCCCACCAAGGCGACGAUCCGUAGCUGGUCUGAGAGGAUGAUCAGCCACACUGGAACUGAGACACGGUCCAGACUCCUACGGGAGGCAGCAGUGGGGAAUAUUGGACAAUGGGGGCAACCCUGAUCCAGCCAUGCCGCGUUGUGUAGAAGGACGU
rnacentral:rRNA from 1 species